rnacentral:lncRNA from 1 species
AACUUUAUUCUUUAAGUUCUAAAAAUAGAAUAUCUUUGACAAUGAAUAAUAUCCACCAAAUUGAGAGUUGUUUGUUAUGUUUAUUCUUGUCAAAUAUACUUUUUGUACAAAUCCUUUUUAUAAUUUUUAUAAAUUACAUUGGACUCAGGACUAUACACUGAACACUGACCAUCGUAAAUAAAAGUAUUCCAUCCUAAAUUAUUGAAUUAUUCGUCGCGAGUUCAAGAGUCUCAAGAGUUAGUUGUCACCAGAAUUUCAGUCCCAGAGUUUUUUUUUCGCUAUUCGAAGCAUUCGUUCUUUGUGUGAUCAGGUGCAUCACACCGUUUCAGCAACAAGAGGCCAUUCAAUCUGGCUCUUGUUACACAAGGUCUUGGGAAUAGUAAAUGAAAUAUUGCUGGAUGAAACGUGUUUGUGAGCGCUUAUAAGAUUUGAGCGUCACUGGUGAGUCUUUUGUAGACGAAUUGCGCGUCUGACGCAAAUACAAAAUUUCAAUCCUGGAAUCUAUGAUUAGUUUAUUCAUAACCACUUGGUCGAUGUCACUG